AGUGAACGCGGGCGGUAAGCCUAACACAUGCAAGUCGAACGGCAGCACAGUAAGAGCUUGCUCUUACGGGUGGCGAGUGGCGGACGGGUGAGGAAUACAUCGGAAUCUACUUUUUCGUGGGGGAUAACGUAGGGAAACUUACGCUAAUACCGCAUACGACCUACGGGUGAAAGCAGGGGAUCUUCGGACCUUGCGCGAUUGAAUGAGCCGAUGUCGGAUUAGCUAGUUGGCGGGGUAAAGGCCCACCAAGGCGACGAUCCGUAGCUGGUCUGAGAGGAUGAUCAGCCACACUGGAACUGAGACACGGUCCUGACUCCUACGGGAGGCAGCAGUGGGCAAUAUUGGACAAUGGGCGCAAGCCUGCUCCAGCCAUACCGCGUCGUUGACGAAGGCCUUCGGGUUGUACAGCCCUUUUGUUGGGCAAGAAAAGCAGCAGGUUAAUACCCCGCUGUUCUGACGGUACCCAAAGAAUAAGCACCGGCUAACUUCGUG
rnacentral:rRNA from 1 species